rnacentral:lncRNA from 1 species
GGGACAUAUGUCAUUUCAAGGCCAAAGCAUCUAGUUGCUGGUGGGAGACCCUCCCGGGUGCUCUUUUCCUGUGUCCUGGCAACUGGCAGGAGGUGGAAUGGCUGCUUCUGCUAGCCUGGGUCCUUGCAUCACUACUGGAGUGGAGCCCCUUGCUGCCCCAUAAUGGACAUCCAGCAUGAGUGAUAACUAAGCCUUUCUUGUUUUAAAACCCUGAGAUUUGGGGGUUGUUUGUUACUGCAGCAUAACCUAGCGUGUGCUGACUGAUACAGAGACUAGAGGAGUGAUCCAGGCAGAGCAAGUACAUACACACCGACUUGGGAAGGCUCACUCUGAGCAGCCAUGGUGACCUUUUAGACAAAUAAAUCUGAGUCUGUCAGCCCCUGGCUGAAAACUCUUCAGGGGUUCCCAUUGUAUUUAGGGGAAAAGAGAGAAAACCUUCAGUUACCCUCUAGACACGAUGGGAAAACCAUCUUACAUCCCCGUUUUUGCCACGUUUAGCCUAACGUGGUGCUGUCCUCAUGUUCUCCCCUCUGCUCUGACUGCAUUCCACUCUUCCUUUAGGCCUCCUCAUCCUUUAUCUUUCAGCUUCAGCAUCACCUCAGGGAAGCCCUCUGUGACUAGAUGGAACCCCCCCCCCCCAUUAAGGCCUCUCACGGCCCCACCAACCUCGUGUUUUUAGCAGUUGCCUUAGUGGCAAUUUUACAUUUACUGGUGUAAUUAUCAACUGCAGUCUCACUCUUUCAUCAGACCAUAGGCUCUGCGAGGGCGGUGCCUGGCUUGGCGUGUGUGUGUGCCACUGUCUCCACGUCUGUGCAGGAGAGCUGCUCAGUGAAUACCUUCUGAUGAGUCCCUAAGCUUUGGCUCUGGGCUCCCAGUGUGCAGGGGCCAAAGGCAGGACUGAUGGAUGCUGCUUCCCUGGGGUGUGGGCAGAAGGGCCCAGUUAGGAGGAGCUGUCGGGCAUGGCAGGCAAAAGCCACUGGUCCAUAGAAGACAGAUGCUAAACUCUUACUAGGCAUCCGUGCGCCAUGUUUCUGGGCCAUGAUUCUGGGAUGUACAAGAGAAAAUUCUAAGAGGGCAAAGAGGGUGAGAUUUAACAAACCCUUGAGGUCUCUGAUCUGGAGGGUGUAUGAGUCAGUGAAGGGGCCACAUAGUAGGAGAUCCAGGGCUGAUGAAGGUGAAGAUGCUGCUGCUGAAGGCAGCUAAUGUUUAUCAAAACAGCUCCAACAAGGUAGGUCUUAUUAUGUCCAUUUCACAGAUGGGGAAACUGAGGCCCCAAGCGGUGAAGUGAAGGAUCCGGUUUACACAGUGGUGUGGCCGGGAUUGGAACCUUGGCAGUCGGAUGUCCUCUCCCUAGGGAUGCCCUCUUGGAGUGAGGGCAGGGGACCCCAGACCUCCCAAGGAGAAGCCCCUUUGGAAAUGCCACACGGGGUUAUAGAGUUUCCAGGAGGUCACACCCACCUAACAUUGGGGUUUGAGCAAAAGGGUUCCUGGCCCAGAGGUGCCUGGUGGCCUUGGUGCCAGGGCUGGUCUGGAACCAUCUGGUGCUUCUCCACCCCUCUUGGGGCCUGGGAGUCCUUAGGGGCCCAGGGCCCCGUGUUCUUAAAGUGGAGCCUGGGAGGGACUUUCCUGCAGCUGGCCCAAGGGCUGCACCGGAAAAAGAAG